rnacentral:rRNA from 1 species
CACGUAGGGCGCAAGCGUUGUCCGGAAUUACUGGGCGUAAAGAGCUCGUAGGUGGUUUGUCGCGUUGUCCGUGAAAACUCACAGCUUAACUGUGGGCGUGCGGGCGAUACGGGCAGACUGGAGUACUGCAGGGGAGACUGGAAUUCCUGGUGUAGCGGUGGAAUGCGCAGAUAUCAGGAGGAACACCGGUGGCGAAGGCGGGUCUCUGGGCAGUAACUGACGCUGAGGAGCGAAAGCGUGGGGAGCGAACAGG